AACUCUGAUAAGUGAGCUCUCUUUUCUAAGUUGAGGCAACCGGAAUCCGUCCCGGACAACGGAAACCGGCCAUGACGACGGUAAAAGAUUGGCCAACCGGAAAAAAGUUUCAACCAUAGUACUACACUACUCUCAUCCCCUUGCCCUCAAUCAGAGAUAUUUAGAACUCAUGUUUCAGAGUCCACAGAUUUGACCAAGACGCUACUGAGAGUUCAGCUAAGUCAUCUAAAGUUCUCUAUGGAGCCAAAAGACGUAAAAUUGCAUCUGGAAGGAUUAAACUUUGGCGUUGCUAUGGAACAAGAAGCAGAACAAACAAAUUACAUGACAGACGGCUAGUAAAUGUGAAGAAUUCAAACCUAUUGGGCAAUAACAGUUUAACUAAGUCAUUCGGUGGCAAAUUAGUUCGGCAAAGUAUGAUUACUCCUGUACAUUCUGCUGCGGAAACUGAAGAUACAAGGAAAUCAUUCAACGUCCUGCAAUGGGAGAAUCUGUAGAGCGUGGAUGGUAUGAUCAUCGCAAAAUAGGAUUACUGAGUGCUUCACAAGCGAGCAGGGCCACUAAAGCUGCCAAAAUAUUCAUGCCAGUAAAUCCUUACUUGCAGAUUCUUGACUGGGAACCUAGCCGAUUUUCUUAGGCAUAUAUCUGAAGAAUCACCUGAUAAAGUCACUCUAAAGGGUCUUUCUGGAGGAACUUGGAAUGUGAAACUACAAUGUAAUGGAAGAGGGCUUUCUUAUACACAAAGGUUGGAAGAAAUUUCAGAAAAAUUACCAACUAGAAUAUGGGGAAUUUCUCUAUUU